CUGGGCCUACCAAGAACCUUAGUGGUUCUGAUCGAGAGACGGUUCAUCUCUCAGAACCAGUGGACUAAUCCAACAACACCGGCUGAUGGAGGACGCACGGCACCAGAGGCUAACGGGUCAGACUGACGUCUCAAAGGAGAACAGCGCUUAGUUUACCCUGGUAGGUGGUUCUAUUGGAUCAGAGGUUCUAUUGGAUCAGAGGUUCUAUUGGAUCAGAGGUUCUAUUGGAUCAGAGGGAACGUUCAGGUCUCCAACUCCCCGUCUCCCAUCUAUGCUGCUUCUCCUACAAACGGGUCA